UAAGGAAUAUUGGUCAAUGGACGCAAGUCUGAACCAGCCAUGCCGCGUGGAGGAUGAAGGCCCUCUGGGUUGUAAACUUCUUUUAUCUGGGACGAAAAAGGGACUUUCUAGUUCAACUGACGGUACCAGAGGAAUAAGCACCGGCUAACUCCGUGCCAGCAGCCGCGGUAAUACGGAGGGUGCAAGCGUUAUCCGGAUUCACUGGGUUUAAAGGGUGCGUAGGUGGGUUGGUAAGUCAGUGGUGAAAUCUCCAGGCUUAACUUGGAAACUGCCAUUGAUACUAUUAAUCUUGAAUACCGUGGAGGUCAGCGGAAUAUGUCAUGUAGCGGUGGAAUGCUUAGAUAUGACACAGAACACCAAUUGCGAAGGCAGCUGGCUACACGAAUAUUGACACUGAUGCACGAAAGCGUGGGGAUCAAACAGGAUUAGAUACCCUGGUAGUCCACGCCCUAAACGAUGGAUACUCGACAUACGCGAUAUACUGUGUGUGUCUGAGCGAAAGCAUUAAGUAUCCCACCUGGGAAGUACGAUCGCAAGAUUGA
rnacentral:rRNA from 1 species